rnacentral:tRNA from 1 species
AGCUCAGUUGGUUAGAGCACAUCACUCAUAAUGAUGGGGUCACAGGUUCGAAUCCCGUCGUAGCCA